CCGGCGCUGUCCGUGCCGCGCGGAGAGGAGCUAAACAGGCAGGCCUAUUGAAACAGCGGUAUCUGCUCGAUGCCACGGUGGGGUUUAAUUAAAGAUGCAAUCUCUCUACAGAGGGCAGUAAAAUCCAAUAACAAAGGGAAGAUAAAAGCUUCCGCUGACAGGCAGCGAACGGCUGGCGUGGCUCUCUGUCAUGGGACCCUGUCCAGGCAGGCUGAAGCUGAGAAGCUCUGCAUAGUGAACGUCGCUCCCGGUACCUGCCACCCAUAAUCCACGUCAAACAGGCGCACCGAGAUGCAGACUCUGAGUUAUUCAGAUGGGGGAGGACAGAGAGGUUGGGUUACAGACAGACGAGGAUGGCCAUACGGAAAGCAUGACACUGGGAGAAUCGAAACUGCAGCCAUGCAGGAGGAAUUUGUUCCUGGAUUAUGGACCAGACACUGAACCAUACAGUCUGAAAAUAGCAGCACAGUGCUGAUAACUGUAAAUAAAUGUAAGAGAGAGAGAGAGAGAGAGAGAGAGAAAGAAAGAAAAGUGGUGCUUCUCAUUAUUGCAGUGA